rnacentral:rRNA from 1 species
AGUGAACGCUGGCGGUAGUCCUAACACAUGCAAGUCGAACGGCAGCACAGGAGAGCUUGCUCUCUGGGUGGCGAGUGGCGGACGGGUGAGGAAUACAUCGGAAUAUACUCUGUCGUGGGGGAUAACGUAGGGAAACUUACGCUAAUACCACAUACGACCUACGGGUGGAAGCAGGGUACCUUCGGACCUUGCGCGAUUGAAUUAGCCGAUGUCGGAUUAGCUAGUUGGCGGGGUAAAGGCCCACCAAGGCGACGAGCCGUAGCUGGUCUGAGAGGAUGAUCAGCCACACUGGAACUGAGACACGGUCCAGACUCCUACGGGAGGCAGCAGUGGGGAAUAUUGGACAAUGGGCGCAAGCCUGAUCCAGCCAUACCGCGUGGGUGAAGAAGGCCUUCGGGUUGUAAAGCCCUUUUGUUGGGAAAGAAAUCCAGCUGGCUAAUACCCGGUUGGGAUGACGGUACCCAAAGAAUAAGCACCGGCUAACUUCGUGCCAGCCGCCGCGGUAA